rnacentral:rRNA from 1 species
CACGUAGGGCGCAAGCGUUGUCCGGAAUUAUUGGGCGUAAAGAGCUCGUAGGCGGUCUGUCGCGUCUGCCGUGAAAACCCGAGGCUUAACCUCGGGCUGGCGGUGGAUACGGGCAGACGUAGAGGUAGGUAGGGGAGAAUGGAAUUCCCGGUGUAGCGGUGAAAUGGCGCAGAUAGUCGGGAGGAACGACCGGUGGCGAAGGCGGUUCUCUGGGCCUUACCUGACGCUGAGGAGCGAAAGCGUGGGGAGCGAACAGG